rnacentral:tRNA from 1 species
GUGGUGGCUCAGUGGUAGAGCGCUUGGCCAGCACGUGUGAGGCCCUGGGUUCGAUUCUCAGCACCACA